rnacentral:rRNA from 1 species
UACGUAGGUGGCAAGCGUUGUCCGGAUUUACUGGGCGUAAAGAGCGCGCAGGCGGUCGUUCAAGUCGCGUGUGAAAGCCCCCGGCUCAACUGGGGAGGGUCACGCGAUACUGAUCGACUCGAAGGCAGGAGAGGGUAGUGGAAUUCCCGGUGUAGUGGUGAAAUGCGUAGAUAUCGGGAGGAACACCAGUGGCGAAGGCGACUUCCUGGCCUGUUCUUGAUGCUGAGGCGCGAAAGCUAGGGUAGCAAACGGG